rnacentral:tRNA from 1 species
UGCCCAGGUAGCUCAGUUGGUAGAGCAGGGGAUUGAAAAUCCCCGUGUCGGCGGUUCGAUUCCGUCCCUGGGCACCAU